CGAGUUUGAUCAUGGCUCAGUAUUGAACGCUGGCGGAAUGCUUUACACAUGCAAGUCGAACGGUAGAGGGGGCAACCCUUGAGAGUGGCGAACGGGUGAGUAAUAUAUCGGAACGUGCCCAGUCGUGGGGGAUAACGUAGCGAAAGUUACGCUAAUACCGCAUACGAUCUAAGGAUGAAAGCGGGGGAUCGCAAGACCUCGCGCGAUUGGAGCGGCCGAUAUCAGAUUAGGUAGUUGGUGAGGUAAAGGCUCACCAAGCCGACGAUCUGUAGCUGGUCUGAGAGGACGACCAGCCACACUGGGACUGAGACACGGCCCAGACUCCUACGGGAGGCAGCAGUGGGGAAUUUUGGACAAUGGGCGCAAGCCUGAUCCAGCAAUGCCGCGUGCAGGAUGAAGGCCUUCGGGUUGUAAACUGCUUUUGUACGGAACGAAACGGUGAGCUCUAAUACAGUUUGCUAAUGACGGUACCGUAAGAAUAAGCACCGGCUAACUACGUG
rnacentral:rRNA from 1 species